GUGGGUGUAGCUCAGUGGAAGAGCACAUGCUUAGUACACACGAGGUCCUGGGUUCAAUCCCCAGUACCUCCA
rfam:Camelus ferus unplaced genomic scaffold scaffold597, whole genome shotgun sequence.